UUUUCCGAAAAUGAUGCUCGCUUGGCGAGAAAGGAUUUUUGUGAUGAUCUUGCAGAUUCAUUGGACAAGAUUAAUCUUCAAGACAAUGAGGAAAAGAAGAGCCCAAAGGAAGUCCAAGACGAAGUCGCGGAACAACUCUUGGAAGAGAUACAUCCACAGGAGGAAGAAGCGAUGAUGCCUAACGCCUCUAGGACAUCUAAAAACCAUCCUCUCGACAAGGUAAUUGGCAACAUCGAACAAGGGGUAUGUACUCGAAACUCUCUUAAGGACACUGUAGGACACAUGGCCUUUGUUUCUCAAAUAGAACCUU
rnacentral:lncRNA from 1 species